rnacentral:rRNA from 2 species
CCGGGUUGCGGACAGUGUCUGGUGGGUAGUUUGACUGGGGCGGUCUCCUCCUAAAGAGUAACGGAGGAGCACGAAGGUUGGCUAAUCCUGGUCGGACAUCAGGAGGUUAGUGCAAUGGCAUAAGCCAGCUUGACUGCGAGCGUGACGGCGCGAGCAGGUGCGAAAGCAGGUCAUAGUGAUCCGGUGGUUCUGAAUGGAAGGGCCAUCGCUCAACGGAUAAAAGGUACUCCGGGGAUAACAGGCUGAUACCGCCCAAGAGUUCAUAUCGACGGCGGUGUUUGGCACCUCGAUGUCGGCUCAUCACAUCCUGGGGCUGAAGUAGGUCCCAAGGGUAUGGCUGUUCGCCAUUUAAAGUGGUACGCGAGCUGGGUUUAGAACGUCGUGAGACAGUUCGGUCCCUAUCUGCCGUGGGCGCUGGAGAACUGAGGGGGGCUGCUCCUAGUACGAGAGGACCGGAGUGGACGCAUCACUGGUGUUCGGGUUGUCAUGCCAAUGGCACUGCCCGGUAGCUAAAUGCGGAAGAGA